CUGGGUAUAGCCCUGCUUCACCUGGUUAUAGCCCCAGCUCACCAACAUAUAGUCCAAGCUCUCCAGGAUAUAGUCCUAGUAGCCCUACAUAUUCACCGACAAGUCCAUCCUACUCCCCUACCUCCCCCAGCUACAGCCCCACCUCCCCCAGCUACAGCCCCACCUCCCCAAGCUACAGCCCGACCUCCCCAAGCUACAGCCCCACCUCACCUGCCUACAGCCCCACCUCACCUGCUUACAGCCCCACCUCUCCGUCCUACAGCCCCACCUCUCCAUCCUACAGCCCGACCUCUCCGUCCUACAGCCCGAGCUCCCCGUCCUACAGCCCAACCUCCCCAUCCUACAGUCCAACCUCCCCAUCAUACAGCCCAACCUCACCUUCAUACAGUCCAACUUCUCCAUCAUAUAGUCCUACUUCUCCUGCAUACAGUCCCACAUCGCCGAGCUACAGUCCCACAUCUCCAAGCUAUAGUCCUACAUCUCCAAGCUACAACCCUUCAUCUGCAAAGUACAGCCCCUCCCUGGCAUAUUCCCCGAGCAGUCCAAGACUAUCACCAUCCAGCCCGUACAGUCCGACAUCCCCCAGUUACAGGCAAG
rnacentral:lncRNA from 1 species